CCCAGAAUGCUGUUCACUUCCACAUAAGGAUACUGUUUCUCAAGAACACUAACCACAUGCUCCACUUUCAGCUGAUCUCCUGUUUUUACUUUGUUAUAUAUCUGGAAGGGGGAUACAAAUACAAGUUUACAGACUAAAUAGAAGAUUUUGAGCAGUGUGACCUGGAAUCAACAUUAUGACAUACAAUCUCUAAUGAACCACACCAGACGACAGUGUCAAACCGCAUCCCUUCUUUUCUCAUUUUAUUGCUAUUGAACAACAAGGGAUUUCUCUUUCAGAACAGGAAUCUCAGGGGACUGAGAUUGAACCGUCACAGAAGGGCCAAGUUCAGUUUCUGGUCAUAUUUGUGAGCUAAGUGACAAGACCAUCCACACCUUAAGAAGUUAUCAACAGUACAAUCAUAACAUCCAUCACUGGGGAUAAGACCAGAAUUUGUUUGUUUUUUUUUAUUUACAUUCAAGUAUAUCUGCAUCUGCUCAAAAAAGGAGCAGCUCCUACAUCAUCAUCUUUACAACCCAGGUCAUGAAAUCUAUCAAAAGAAAUCUAUUUCUUCACUGGUUGGGCAGGCCACAUUAUGACUGAAUUACCUGAGCACAUUCAAAUUAAUUUCAAGAAAUUGACAAAGUGCAAAGAACAGUGGAAUUGCACAUCAACAUCUGACACAGUUGACUGGGCUGUCUGCUGAAAUGAAUCCCAAAAGAGUGGGAUCCAGUGAAAAGGUUAAGUUUAAGACACCAAAUGGAAAUCCUACCCAAUAAAUUCUUGAAGACUCAAAACAAAAGGUUCAGAAGCAUUUCACACCAACAGCUCAUGUCUGUCAAAUUUUGCACUACUCCACACCAACUGCCGAAGAGAAACACUAAGAUCCUCACUGUAAUCAUAAGCUGAAGAACAUUUCUGCAUAAACCUUCUCUGGUGUUCGCUUUCAGCUAAAUAGAAAUGCAGACAUUUACUCAACCACUGUUGCCCGUCUCAUGUUCUGCUGUGAAAAAUGACAUGAAAAAAAACAACUUUCCAAGUAUUCAUUAUUGGAAUUACCUGGCCUUUGUAGGAAAAUUCUGACUGAGAUCUUUCAUGACCAUCAAAGCAUCCACAGGGGGAGCAGUCAAAAUGCGUGCAGCAGUUUGAAAACUUAAAUCUACAAGUGAA